GCCAUAGCUCAGUGGUUAGGGCAGUUGCUUUGCAUGCAGAAAAGCACAGGUUGGAUUCCUGGGACUGGGAAAUA